CCUACGGGAGGCAGCAGUGGGGAAUAUUGCACAAUGGGCGCAAGCCUGAUGCAGCCAUGCCGCGUGUGUGAAGAGGGCCUUCGGGUUGUAAAGCACUUUCAGCGGGGAGGAAGGCGGUGAGGUUAAUAACCUCAUCGAUUGACGUUACCCGCAGAAGAAGCACCGGCUAACUCCGUGCCAGCAGCCGCGGUAAUACGGAGGGUGCAAGCGUUAAUCGGAAUUACUGGGCGUAAAGCGCACGCAGGCGGUCUGUCAAGUCGGAUGUGAAAUCCCCGGGCUCAACCUGGGAACUGCAUUCGAAACUGGCAGGCUAGAGUCUUGUAGAGGGGGGUAGAAUUCCAGGUGUAGCGGUGAAAUGCGUAGAGAUCUGGAGGAAUACCGGUGGCGAAGGCGGCCCCCUGGACAAAGACUGACGCUCAGGUGCGAAAGCGUGGGGAGCAAACAGGAUUAGAUACCCGAGUAGUC
rnacentral:rRNA from 1 species